rfam:St. Louis encephalitis virus isolate MSI-7 from TSA polyprotein gene, complete cds
GAGGAAACAGAUUUCUUUUUUGGAGGAUAACAACUUAACUUGACUGCGAACAGUUUUUUAGCAGGGAAUUACCCAAUGUCUAAAAAACCAGGAAAACCCGGUAGAAACCGGGUUGUCAAUAUGCUAAAAC